CGCUGCUUUCUUUAACGGAAAUUGAGCCCUAUAUUGAGGGAAAUUAGUUUUGCAGACUUCGUUCAAAAAAAAACUAAAACUUUUGUUCACCAGCUGCUCGACUUUUCAGUCUGGGGCUGAGCUGGAACCUGCCACAAGCCUUUCGCGGUAUUUUGUCUCAGCAACGAGAGAAAAGUAGGAUAGAGUCUUUCAAGGCCCAUCCAAGCAGUGUCUUCAGUGUGGACUGUGGAGAAAUCCAAAAUUAGAGAAUAUGCAUGUGAAGAGUACAGAGAUUUUGAGCAUUCUGCAAAAGAUACAAGUAGUGAACUGGCUUUUGAAAUUCCGCAUGGAGAAUAUGUCCCAACAACCACGAAUUACAUCCAGACAGCGCCAUCUACCAGUAGCACUCCAAACUGCAAAAGCGAAGCGAAAGCAGAAGAAGCUGUGCGAACUGGAGGACCACCACAAGCUCUGGGCUGAAGCGUGAGCACAUUUCCAAGACGAAGCAUAAAUACAUGCAUGAGUUACUGAAUCAGCUUGGGGAUUUGAAUGUGUUCUAAGAAGUCAAAGAGAAAAAUCUGCUUACAAACAUAA